GGGGAAGGCGGGGGACCCGGGACUUCCAAGUGUGUCUGGUUUCCCGCAGAAUCCAGCCUCUGUCCACGUGAACUCUGCUCUGUCCUCUGGGCUCAUAAUGUUCUGAGACUCUUGCUGCCUCUUUCAUGGAUUCCCCUUCUAUUUCCCUGAGACGACUCACAGGUCACAGAAAGCUGCCUCCCAUCCUUGCGGCUCCAUCAAGGUGCUUUGGAGGCAGGUAAAGCGCAGCCAAAAACAAUCCAUUGAUACACUUGGUGACAUUAAUUGAGAAAAAAACAAUAUGGUCUGGCCAUGGAGGCAUGGUAUCCGUAACAUCCCCCAAAGGAGCUAAAGAAGAAAUCCACAAUUUACCAUGAGCAUUUCUCGUCUGAAGAUUGCCAAGCGAUUCCUCCAGGACAUUCCUCAAGAUCAAUUUCUGUUCAUCCACCUUGUCCUGGGAGGGACAUCAAUGGGUUUCCAUGUCCUUUGGCUUCUGGUUGAGUUCACUCAGUGGAGAACCCUGGCAAGAGGCAGGAAAAGGGGAGGAAGGUGAAAACCAUCCAUUUCUUGGAGAAGUGCCACGGUGGGGUUGCAAGUCCCAGGAUCAAGUUUUCGAUGUGUCUCUUUUUCCCGUAAAGUGGCUGAAAUCUGAAGCUGAAUCUGCAAGUGUCAUGGAGUCAUUGAAUCUCACAGUCUCAACUGAUAAAAGUUAUUAAAGGUCGUCUGGUU
rnacentral:lncRNA from 1 species